GAUGAACGCUAGCUACAGGCUUAACACAUGCAAGUCGAGGGGCAGCAUGGGGGUUGCUUGCAAUCCCUGAUGGCGACCGGCGCACGGGUGAGUAACGCGUAUCCAACCUGCCCGCCACUCGGGUAUAGCCCAGUGAAAACUGGAUUAAUCCCUGAUGGUCUCCUUUGCGGACAUCUGACGAGGAGUAAAGAUUCAUCGGUGGUGGAUGGGGAUGCGUCCGAUUAGCUAUGUUGGCGGGGUAACGGCCCACCAAGGCAACGAUCGGUAGGGGUUCUGAGAGGAAGGUCCCCCACAUUGGAACUGAGACACGGUCCAAACUCC
rnacentral:rRNA from 1 species